UACAGAGGUCCCAAGCGUUGUUCGGAUUCACUGGGCGUAAAGGGUGCGUAGGUGGUGAGGUAAGUCGGAUGUGAAAGCUCGGAGCUCAACUCCGAAAUGGCAUUGGAAACUACCUUGCUCGAGGGUUGGAGGGGGGACUGGAAUACUUGGUGUAGCAGUGAAAUGCGUAGAUAUCAAGUGGAACACCAGUGGCGAAGGCGGCUCUCUGGGCCUUUCCUGACGCUGAGACGCGAAAGCGUGGGGAGCGAACCGG
rnacentral:rRNA from 1 species